CGACCGGCGCACGGGUGAGUAACGCGUAUCCAACCUGCCCACCACUUGGGGAUAACCUUGCGAAAGUAAGACUAAUACCCAAUGAUAUCUCUAGAAGACAUCUGAAAGAGAUUAAAGAUUUAUCGGUGAUGGAUGGGGAUGCGUCUGAUUAGCUUGUUGGCGGGGUAACGGCCCACCAAGGCACGAUCAGUAGGGGUUCUGAGAGGAAGGUCCCCCACAUUGGAACUGAGACACGGUCCAA
rnacentral:rRNA from 1 species